UACGGGGGGGGCGAAGCGGUUGUCCGGAUUUAUUGGGCGUAAAGAGCGUGUAGGCGGCCAUGUAGGUCCGUUGUGAAAACUCGAGGCUCAACCUCGAGACGCCGAUGGAAACCAUGUGGCUAGAGUCCGGAAGAGGAGAGUGGAAUUCCUGGUGUAGCGGUGAAAUGCGCAGAUAUCAGGAAGAACACCCGUGGCUAAGGCGGCUCUCUAGUACGGUACUGACGCUGAGACGCGAAAGCGUGGGGAGCGAACAGG
rnacentral:rRNA from 1 species